rnacentral:rRNA from 1 species
GCGUUGUCCGGAAUUAUUGGGCGUAAAGGGCUCGUAGGCGGUCCAUCGCGUCGGGAGUGAAAAGCUGGGGCUCAACUCCAGUCCUGCUUCCGAUACGGGUGGGCUAGAGGUAUGCAGGGGAGAACGGAAUUCCUGGUGUAGCGGUGAAAUGCGCAGAUAUCAGGAGGAACACCGGUGGCGAAGGCGGUUCUCUGGGCAUUACCUGACGCUGAGGAGCGAAAGCGUG